rnacentral:rRNA from 1 species
AGGGUUUGAUCAUGGCUCAGGACGAACGCUGGCGGCGCGCCUAACACAUGCAAGUCGAACGAGCGAGAGAGAGCUUACUUUCUCAAGCGAGUGGCGAACGGGUGAGUAACGCGUGAGGAACCUGCCUCAAAGAGGGGGACAACAGUUGGAAACGACUGCUAAUACCGCAUAAGCCCACGGUGCCGCAUGGCACAGAGGGAAAAGGAGCAAUCUGCUUUGAGAUGGCCUCGCGUCCGAUUAGCUAGUUGGUGAGGUAACGGCCCACCAAGGCGACGAUCGGUAGCCGGACUGAGAGGUUGAACGGCCACAUUGGGACUGAGACACGGCCCAG